rnacentral:rRNA from 1 species
GAGGAAUAUUGGUCAAUGGACGAGAGUCUGAACCAGCCAAGUAGCGUGAAGGAUGACUGCCCUAUGGGUUGUAAACUUCUUUUAUAUGGGAAUAAAAUGAGUUACGUGUAGCUUUUUGUAUGUACCAUAUGAAUAAGGAUCGGCUAACUCCGUGCCAGCAGCCGCGGUAAUACGGAGGAUCCGAGCGUUAUCCGGAUUUAUUGGGUUUAAAGGGAGCGUAGGUGGAUUGUUAAGUCAGUUGUGAAAGUUUGCGGCUCAACCGUAAAAUUGCAGUUGAAACUGGCAGUCUUGAGUACAGCAGAGGUGGGCGGAAUUCGUGGUGUAGCGGUGAAAUGCUUAGAUAUCACGAAGAACUCCGAUUGCGAAGGCAGCUCACUGGACUGGUCACUGACACUGAGGCUCGAAAGUGUGGGUAUCAAACAGG